UAUUUUUUAAAAAUUGUAGAA
rnacentral:piRNA from 1 species